rnacentral:rRNA from 1 species
GUGCCUGCAGCCGCGGUAAUACGAAAGGUGCGAGCGUUAAUCGGAAUUACUGGGCGUAAAGCGCGCGUAGGCGGUUAGUUAAGUCGGAUGUGAAAGCCCAGGGCUCAACCUUGGAACUGCAUCCGAUACUGGCUAGCUAGAGUGCAGUAGAGGGAGGUGGAAUUUCCGGUGUAGCGGUGAAAUGCGUAGAGAUCGGAAGGAACACCAGUGGCGAAGGCGGCCUCCUGGACUGACACUGACGCUGAGGUGCGAAAGCGUGGGUAGCGAACAGGAUUAGAUACCCCCGUAGUCCC